GAUGAACGCUAGCGGCAGGCUUAAUACAUGCAAGUCGUGGGGCAGCAUGAGUAGCAAUACUUGAUGGCGACCGGCAAACGGGUGAGGAACACGUACACAACCUUCCUUCAAGCGGGGAAUAGCCCAGAGAAAUUUGGAUUAAUACCCCAUAAUAUAUUUGAUAAGGCAUCUUAUUAAUAUUAAAGCUUCGGCGCUUGAUGAUGGGUGUGCGGCUGAUUAGAUAGUUGGCGGGUAACGGCCCACCAAGUCUACGAUCAGUAGCUGAUGUGAGAGCAUGAUCAGCCACACGGGCACUGAGACACGGGCCCGACUCCUACGGGAGGCAGCAGUAAGGAAUAUUGGACAAUGGACGAAAGUCUGAUCCAGCCAUGCCGCGUGAAGGAUUAAGGUCCUCUGGAUUGUAAACUUCUUUAUAUGGGACGAAAAAAGGGCAUUCUUGUUCACUUGACGGUACCAUAUGAAUAAGCACCGGCUAACUCCGUGCCAGCA
rnacentral:rRNA from 1 species